rnacentral:rRNA from 1 species
AGAGUUUGAUCCUGGCUCAGAACGAACGCCGGCGGCAGGCCUAACACAUGCAAGUCGAGCGCCCUCGCAAGAGGGAGCGGCGGACGGGUGAGUAACGCGUGGGAAUUUUCCUCAAGGUACGGAACAACUCAGGGAAACUUGGGCUAAUACCGUAUGAUGUCUAGCGACCAAAGAUUUAUCGCCUUGGGAUAAGCCCGCGUCAGAUUAGGUAGUUGGUGGGGUAACGGCCUACCAAGCCUGCGAUCUGUAGCUGGUCUGAGAGGACGAUCAGCCACACUGGGACUGAGACACGGCCCAGACUCCUACGGGAGGCAGCAGUGGGGAAUCUUGCGCAAUGGGCGAAAGCCUGACGCAGCCAUGCCGCGUGAAUGAUGAAGGUCUUAGGAUUGUAAAGUUCUUUCGCUCGUGACGAUGAUGACGGUAACGAGAGAAGAA